CAGCAGGUGGCAGGACAAGAGGAUAUGACCUCAAGUUGCACUGGGGCAGGUUUGGGUUGGACAUCAGGAAGAAUUUCUUCAUGGAAGAGAAAGGGCUUCUAAGCUUUG